GCACUAAAAUGCAGAGAAGAAUUGGCUUAAGUUUAUACAAAUAAAAACUAAAUUCUCGUUAGUUAUAUGGCCUCCACGGAUAUGAAGGGCAAAGGUGGAAAAAUAUGUUUUAAGAACACUAAUCUAUAUGGCGUUGAAAAAGAUAUACCU